rnacentral:rRNA from 1 species
UACGAAGGGGGCGAGCGUUGUUCGGAUUUACUGGGCGUAAAGGGCGCGCAGGCGGCCAUUCAAGUCAGGCGUGAAAGCCCCGGGCUUAACCUGGGAGGUGCGUCUGGGACUGGGUGGCUAGAGAUCGGGAGAGGAGAGUGGAAUUCCCAGUGUAGAGGUGAAAUUCGUAGAUAUUGGGAAGAACACCAGCGGCGAAAGCGCGCUACUGGGCCAUUACUGACACUCAUGGACGAAAGCUAGGGGAGCGAAAGGG